GCGUCCUCAGGCGGCGGCACUAUGAACCGACGUCCCCAUCGUCCCCACGCGCGCUGCCGAUCCAGCGCUUCCUCCCAAUCUCCCCCAGGUGAAAGGGGCGAACAGGAGACCGAUCCCCACUGAUGUUGACGAUCAGCAGCACUGCAGCCUGCACCGUGAUAACCCUGAGGGUCAAACAGAGCAGGUUCAACCUGAUCUCAUUCAUCUCCUUUCCUUCCUUUGGAUUUGCUGUAAAAGCAUAUCUUUCAUUCUUUCCAUCGAACCAUCUUUUGAUGUUCACCACAAAGUUACAGAAUUAGCUGAAUUGUUUGAUGUGACAAAUUUAACCACAGGUCGAAUGUGUUUUUUCAAUGGUGUACCAGGUAAAGAAAUUGCUUGCUUCACAAAUGGCAGAAGAGUAUAGCCCGUAACCUGUCAAAAAAUUGUAGGCUGCAUCUUUCACUUACUUAAUUAUGUUGCAAAAACAUUUGGAAACAAAUUCUCACGGCUAACUAUUUUACUUCUCUUAUUGUUAUGUAGAUGGUGGCCAAACAGUAUAGCCCGUCAGGCGUCAGCUUUCCAAAAAUUGUAGACUGCAUCUUUCAUUUACUUAAUCAUGUGUCACAAAAACAUUUCGAAUUCAUAGCAAAGAAAUUCUCACAACUAUCUAUUUUACUUUCUUAUUGUCAUGAAGAUGGUGGCCAAACAGUAUAGCCCAUCAGCUGUCCAAAAAUUGUACGCUGCAUCUUUCACUUACUUUAAUUAUUCGCAAAAACUUAUGGAAUCUACAGCAAAGAAAUUCUCACAUCUAUUAUACUUUUCUUACUGUCACGUAGAUAGUGUAUUUGGUGGGACUAAUCGAAGUAUUUUGUAGCAGAUAUUGCAAUGCACAAAGCCACCGUUUGCAACACUAUUUGUGGAAAAGAAGCUCAUGCUAUAGAGAAAGCUGUAAAGGCAUGAUUCUAGGGUGUCAGUAUUAAUUUAAGUGAGAUGAGAAGAUGGCGAGAUUCAGAGAUUUGCAAAACUAAGUUAAGUAAUUUAUAAUCUCAUUACCAUGUAUUUUCAAAAAUUGUGCAUAAUUUGUGACCUUUUUGACCAUCUACGUUAAUUUAUUAUACUUAGCAAAUAGAGGCUCCUUUCAAGCCUCCAAAAAUUACUAGAAAAUCUUUCUUUACGUUCAUGUCACUUUUAUAUACAUAAAUUUG